AAACAAAUACAAUCUUAAACCAAAACUUCUUCCUCUCUCCAUUCCCAUGAUAGAUACCUUCUUCAUUCUUCAAUAUAUUCUAACCAAAAUGAAUGCUUCCCUACAUAAUACCAUAACAAACUCACCUUAAAUUUUGUACUUCUUCAAUUAACAACCAUGAACACAUAACCUCACACAAAAUAUCAUCUCAUUGAAACAACACACACUAGCAAUCUUCUCACCUUCAUUUUGAUUCAACAACCCAACCGCAACAACACGUCGGCACCACAACAUCGCCCAACACAUCAGAAGCUUUCAGCCGCUGCUCUACACCACAUGCACACCACUGGAAAACCAUCACCAUCUUGAAUUUGAAUGAACCACCUCUUCGCCGCCUCACUUGUUUCCAUCAUUGAUGUGUCCGAUUCGAGUAAGCAUCGAGAGAGAUGAUAAGUCUUUAUUUUUAAGCCAUUGUUGAUGUUUGAGUUUUUUAGAGAGUUAAAAAAAUGAAGGAAAAGAGAUAGGAGAGCUGAGUUUUCCUACUCGUAUCAGGUACUGGUCUUUUAUGCUACUGAUUUUGUUUUUCUUUUAUGCUUUUUUUUCAUUUAUUUAUUAGAGUUGAGAUUUACUUUUUUAUUUUAUUGGUUUGGAUUGGAUAACUUAGAUGAAGUUUUAUUUAAUGAAUCUGUACAGAGACAAGAUUUGUUUUUAAGUAUAUGUUUCUGGUAUAAAAAGUCAAAGAUAAAUAAUGGCAAAAGAUCUUUAAAUUUGGAGUACUGUAUUGUUAGUACUAGGAAACAAAUUAUCAUCUAUCAGCUAUGAAGUAUUAAACCUUAUAACUAGUAUUGUUAAUUUUGGUAAGUUUUAGAACUCAUGAAAUCUUAAAUAAUAUUGACUUCAAGAUCAACAUGUAAGAAGAGAAAAAAUGUGUUUGCCUCAUUUGUAAAGAACAAUAGUUAUUUAGAUCUUUUAAACUUAAAUUUUUAAAAUUUGAAUUGUUCUAUGUGGGUCUUUUAAUGUAGUUUAGGAAUAUUUGGUUUAGAAUUUGUUAUUGUUUGUUUUAAAUGCAUCACCAUAAAUGACAACUAGCUUGUAAAAUAGGAAAAUAAGUCUAUUUUGGUUUAGACUCAGUUUAGAAUUGCUUCCAAUUUCAUAUAAUAUUUGGCACUUUUUUAUACAAUUAUGUUUUCUCAUUUUGUCACCUAAGCUCUUUUCUAAUUNUUAAGAAAUACUCUUGAUUUCUUAAUCAUGAAUGUAAAUGAAAUAUGUAUGAGUUAAGAAAUACUCUUGACUUCUUAAUCAUGAAUGUAAAUGAAUUGAGAAAUGCUCUUGAUUUCUCAGAUGAAAUGCAAAUGAAUUAAGAAACACUCUUGAUUCCUUAAUCAUGAAUGUAAAUAUGCUGAGAAAUGCUCUUGACUUCUCAGAUGCUAUGCAAAUUAAUUAAGAAAUACUCUUGAUUCCCUAAUCAUGAAUGUAAAUGAAUUGAGAAAUGGUCUUGAUUUCUCAGAUGAUAUGAAGACGAGUUAAGAAAUACUCUUGAUUCCUUAAUCAUUGAAUGUAAAUGUACUGAGAAAUGCUCUUGAUUUCUCAGAUGAUAUGCAAAUGAGUUAAGAAAUACUCUUGAUUUCUUAAUCAUGAAUGUAAAUGAAUUAUGUAUGAGUUAAGAAAUACUCUUGAUUUCUUAAUCAUGAAUGUAAAUGAAAUAUGUAUGAGUUAAGAAAUACUCUUGAUUUCUUAAUCAUGAUAGUGCAGAUGAAUUAAGAAAUACUCUUGAUUCCUUAAUUAUGAAUGUAAAUGAGAAAUGCUCUUGAUUUCUCAUAUGACAUGCAAAUGACUAGGGAUGAGAGAAUCAUGUUCAGUUGCUCUUGACUGACAUUAGGUCUCUAGGAUGGAUCUGUUAUAACGUAACAUGCUCGACUGGUCUUCAGACGUUCUUCGUUGAAGGCAGACACUCCUGGGGGAAUAAAUGAUCAUAUUCAGCUGCUUUUGGCUAAAGAUGUCAUAUUCAACAACUCUUGGCUGAAACUGAUGCAUUCAACGACUCUUGGUUGAAGCAAAAACUGUAAAAUAAAGUAGUGUUCAGCUGUUUUUUACUGAAACCACUGCAUUCAACUGCUCAUGGUUGAAGCAAAACUGGGAGAUAAAAAUCUUCUACUUAAUCUCAUGUUUUGAAAUUGUUAAAUAAUAAACUUAUUAUUAAAUUUGUUGAACACAUUUUUCUCAAUAAAAUUUACACAACUAUAAAAAUCAAGGAAAUAAAGCAUAUAUACAGAAUUUAGCGACGAAAAAAACCACAACAUAGAAAAUCACGAGUAAAAGCUAUACAACUCCUAUCUAGAGAAAUUAUGUGAUAGUUGAAAGAAUUAGAAAAGAGCUUAGGUGACAAAAUGAGAAAACAUAAUUGUAUAAAAAAGUGCCAAAUAUUAUAUGAAAUUGGAAGCAAUUCUAAACUGAGUACUUCAAGGAAAUAAUUCAUUUUUAAGGAGUCAAGAGUACUUCUUAACCUUCAUUUACAUGCAUAUCGCCCGACAAUUAGGAAAUCAAGAGUAUUUCUUAAAUCUCGUUGCAUUCAUUUGCAUUAUUGUCUGUUGAUUAAGAAAUCAAGAGUAUUUCUUAAAUCCAAGUGCAUUCGGUCAUAAUCAUAAGCAUAUCAUUCUUCUACAUUAGAAGGGCAAAAUUUGGGUCUGUUUGGUAUUUAAACUAUCUUUUACCAUGAUGAUUUGAAGACAAGAGUUCUUCAUAUCCUCCGGUUAAAUAUGUUUAAAUAGGGGCAGCUGUCAUACCCUAAAUUUCACCCUGAGUUUUCACUCGCAUCAGCAUAACAUAAAUCGAUCCAUUUUGUCGUGUAUUUCAUCAAUUUAAAGCAUUCAUCAGGGUUCAGGUAAAAGGUCAGGAAUUCUGACAUUUUAUCUGAAUUUGAUAAUACUUAUUCAGUCGUCUGUUGAUUAAGAAGUCAAAAGACUUGAUUUCUCAAUCUCGUUGCAUCGCUUAUUUUUAUUACGUCGUAUUUUAGAGGUUCGGAAAGUGAUAAUCAAGAUUAUUGUCGUCGUCUGAAUCUUUGUAGGUUUUGUUUGUGCUUGAGAAUCAACAGCAAAUCGUACAAGAGCGAUUCAUUUGCAUCUGACUGUCUGUUCACGAUUAUUCAGUCAGCAAUUCAGUUCAUUUACAUGACGCUUGCAUUUUUUUACUUGUAAAAACAUGCAUUUUGUUUCACAUAGUGCUUAAAAUAUACUUGAAUUAAUUUUUUCGAAACUACAGACAGACCGGUCAAAUCGUUUCUCAACUGUACGUCGAACUAUCGGGCGGAAAAUUUCAAAAUUGAACUUGCAGACGUCAGUUUUAGUAAUCUACGAUUUGUGUAUUUUAAUUUGGCAUGCUCAUUUUAAUUUUUUGACUACUUUUUCAGUCGCAUUUUAAUCAGUUUGAGCCUUUUAACCGGUCGAUUUUUAUUUCAAAAUUUGAUCGAAACAUGUAUGUUUCUGAGAAGUUUAUUUCACAUUGAUAAGUUUGAUGCAUUCAAUUUAUUUAUUUUUGGGGCAUUUUUUGCCCGAUUUUUAUUUAUUUUUUAUCCGAUUAUUUUUUAUUCUUAACCAAAAUGUCGUUGGAAUUAAUUAGAUUUGUCCGAAUUUUUAUUUUUAUUUUAUUUUGCAUUUUCGAUUUUUAUUUUAAAUUAUUAAUAUUUUAGUUUUUUAGAAAAAUUAAUUUAAGAAAAAAAUCAGAAAAUAUCUUUUGAUCCCCCACUCAAUUGUUGUCACGUGUCCCCAUUUUUCUGCCAUCCACAUGAAACCACGUCUCUCUUUUUUACACCACAAAUACCUCUUCCUCCAAUCAACAGCAAGGACUACAAGGAAAUAAUACAAAAGAAACAUGUGGAAAAGAAAACGAACAAAAGAAGGUCGAAUGAAUUGACCAUCAUCUUCUUGCUCAUACUCCAUCAAUAUCUCUAACUCUACCAUAUUAAAGUUUUAUCUUCUUCAAACCACCAUAGCCAUUACAAAACAAAUACAAUCUUAAACCAAAACUUCUUCCUCUCUCCAUUCCCAUGAUAGAUACCUUCUUCAUUCUUCAAUAUAUUCUAACCAAAAUGAAUGCUUCCCUACAUAAUACCAUAACAAACUCACCUUAAAUUUUGUACUUCUUCAAUUAACAACCAUGAACACAUAACCUCACACAAAAUAUCAUCUCAUUGAAACAACACACACUAGCAAUCUUCUCACCUUCAUUUUGAUUCAACAACCCAACCGCAACAACACGUCGGCACCACAACAUCGCCCAACACAUCAGAAGCUUUCAGCCGCUGCUCUACACCACAUGCACACCACUGGAAAACCAUCACCAUCUUGAAUUUGAAUGAACCACCUCUUCGCCGCCUCACUUGUUUCCAUCAUUGAUGUGUCCGAUUCGAGUAAGCAUCGAGAGAGAUGAUAAGUCUUUAUUUUUAAGCCAUUGUUGAUGUUUGAGUUUUUUAGAGAGUUAAAAAAAUGAAGGAAAAGAGAUAGGAGAGCUGAGUUUUCCUACUCGUAUCAGGUACUGGUCUUUUAUGCUACUGAUUUUGUUUUUCUUUUAUGCUUUUUUUUCAUUUAUUUAUUAGAGUUGAGAUUUACUUUUUUAUUUUAUUGGUUUGGAUUGGAUAACUUAGAUGAAGUUUUAUUUAAUGAAUCUGUACAGAGACAAGAUUUGUUUUUAAGUAUAUGUUUCUGGUAUAAAAAGUCAAAGAUAAAUAAUGGCAAAAGAUCUUUAAAUUUGGAGUACUGUAUUGUUAGUACUAGGAAACAAAUUAUCAUCUAUCAGCUAUGAAGUAUUAAACCUUAUAACUAGUAUUGUUAAUUUUGGUAAGUUUUAGAACUCAUGAAAUCUUAAAU
rnacentral:lncRNA from 1 species